rnacentral:rRNA from 1 species
ACGCUGGCGGCAGGCCUAACACAUGCAAGUCGAGCGGUAGAGAGAAGCUUGCUUCUCUUGAGAGCGGCGGACGGGUGAGUAAUGCCUAGGAAUCUGCCUGGUAGUGGGGGAUAACGUUCGGAAACGGACGCUAAUACCGCAUACGUCCUACGGGAGAAAGCAGGGGACCUUCGGGCCUUGCGCUAUCAGAUGAGCCUAGGUCGGAUUAGCUAGUUGGUGGGGUAAUGGCUCACCAAGGCGACGAUCCGUAACUGGUCUGAGAGGAUGAUCAGUCACACUGGAACUGAGACACGGUCCAGACUCCUACGGGAGGCAGCAGUGGGGAAUAUUGGACAAUGGGCGAAAGCCUGAUCCAGCCAUGCCGCGUGUGUGAAGAAGGUCUUCGGAUUGUAAAGCACUUUAAGUUGGGAGGAAGGGCAGUAAAUUAAUACUUUGCUGUUUUGACGUUACCGACAGAAUAAGCACCGGCUAACUCUGUGCCAGCAGCCGCGGUAAUACAGAGGGUGCAAGCGUUAAUCGGAAUUACUGGGCGUAAAGCGCGCGUAGGUGGUUCGUUAAGUUGGAUGUGAAAUCCCCGGGCUCAACCUGGGAACUGCAUUCAAAACUGACGAGCUAGAGUAUGGUAGAGGGUGGUGGAAUUUCCUGCGUAGCGGUGAAAUGCGUAGAUAUAGGAAGGAACACCAGUGGCGAAGGCGACCACCUGGACUGAUACUGACACUGAGGUGCGAAAGCGUGGGGAGCAAAC